rnacentral:ncRNA from 2 species
CCGCCAACUGCGGGAGAGACUGGCUAUCGACCAGCGCCGAAGGAGCAACCGCCCCGGAAACUCUCAGGCAAACGGACCGCAGUUAGGUC